AGCAGCAGCAGCAGCAGCAGCAGCAGCGACUGGGGACUGCUUCGGCUUUUGGUUCUGGUGUUGUUGCUGCUGCUGCUGCU
rnacentral:miRNA from 1 species